rnacentral:rRNA from 1 species
GACAGAGGGUGCAAACGUUGUUCGGAUUUACUGGGCGUAAAGCGCGUGUAGGCGGCUUUGCAAGUCGGUUGGUGAAAGCCCGGGGCUCAACCCCGGAGGUGCGGCCGAGACUGCAGGGCUGGAGGCCGGAAGAGGAGGGUGGAAUACCCAGUGUAGAGGUGAAAUUCGUAGAUAUUGGGUGGAACACCGGUGGCGAAAGCGGCUCUCUGGUCCGGACCUGACGCUGAGGCGCGAAAGCGUGGGGAG